rnacentral:rRNA from 1 species
CCUACGGUGUGCAGCAGUGAGGAAUAUUGGUCAAUGGGCUUACGCCUGAACCAGCCAAGUCGCGUGAGGGAAGACUGCCCUAUGGGUUGUAAACCUCUUUUGUCAGGGAGCAAAAGCCGGACGUGUCCGGCUGUGAGAGUACCCGAAGAAAAAGCAUCGGCUAACUCCAUGCCAGCAGCCGCGGUAAUACGGAGGAUGCGAACGUUAUCCGGAUUUAUUGGGUUUAAAGGGGGCGCAGGCGGAUUUUUAAGUCAGCGGUAAAAUCGUGGGGCUCAACCCCAUCCAGCCGUUGAAACUGGGGAUCUAGAGUGUGCGAGAGGUAUGCGGAAUGCGUGGUGUAGCGGUGAAAUGCAUAGAUAUCACGCAGAACCCCGAUUGCGAAGGCAGCAUACCGGUGCACAACUGACGCUCAGGCACGAAAGCGUGGGUAUCGAACAGGAUUAGAUACCCUAGUAGUC